rnacentral:rRNA from 1 species
GGCGGAGCAUGCGGAUUAAUUCGAUGCAACGCGAAGAACCUUACCAAGGCUUGACAUAUAGAGGAAAAGCGUAGAAAUACGCUCCCCGCAAGGUCUCUAUACAGGUGGUGCAUGGUUGUCGUCAGCUCGUGUCGUGAGAUGUUGGGUUAAGUCCCGCAACGAGCGCAACCCUCGUCCUAUGUUGCCAGCACGUAAUGGUGGGAACUCAUGGGAUACUGCCGGGGUCAACUCGGAGGAAGGUGGGGAUGACGUCAAAUCAUCAUGCCCCUUAUGUCUUGGGCUUCACGCAUGCUACAAUGGCCGGUACAGAGGGCAGCAAUACCGCAAGGUGGAGCGAAUCCCAAAAAGCCGGUCUCAGUUCGGAUUGAGGUCUGCAACUCGACCUCAUGAAGUUGGAGUCGCUAGUAAUCGUGGAUCAGCAACGCCACGGUGAAUACGUUCCCGGGCCUUGUACACACCGCCCGUCAAGUCAUGAAAGUCGGUAACACCCGAAGCCAGUGGCCCAACCGCAAGGGGGGAGCUGUCGAAGGUGGGAUCGGUGAUUAGGACU